CUUUAAUUAGAUCAUGCUCUCUAAGAGGUAGCAAUGGCUCUUUCUGAGUUUUGCUCAGUACCUGGAGCCUGCUUUAGAGGCUCACCAAAUUCCUCCUAGAGGAAACAAUGAAAUCUGCCAGGAGAGAAAGAGGAAACUCCUUCCUCUAUUUUCAAUCUGUGGGAAAUUCCCACCUCCUUUCCCUGAAAUCCUAAACCGACUUUUGCAGUUAGCCACUACUGGAUAUCGCAGCAAAGAUCUCCUGGAGCAGGAUCGCUUCCUCACUGUGGCCCCUCUGCAAACUUCACGCUCCUUACCUGCACUGACGCGAGAGCAACAGAGGAGUCAAUUGCCCCCAGCUCCUGACAGCAAGUAACAUUGAUUAGCCGGCUCCUGCAAAGGGCGAUGCGUUACCUGCAGUCAACAGCGGUUUGGAAACGAGGGGUCCCCCUUCUGACGGAUAAUCAGAAAGUCACAAGUAGCCUAACACUACAUCGAAAUGCCCACGUUGCUCCCUCACUUCAUCUCCUCACACAGGCAUUUUAUCAUCUCACAUCGUCACAAGAAAGGUCUAUACCAUCCAAUAUGGCAGCCACGACUCAUGUGUGCUAGUCCCAGUUGAGCAACUAUAACAAGCACAUCGGCUUCUGAAGACUUAAUACAAAAAAAAAAAAAAAAAGACAUGCAGUAUCUCAAUAAUAUUUUAUGUUGAUUACGUCUUGAAAUAGUACUGUUUUGGAUAGAUUUGAUUAAGUAAAGCAUACUGUUAAUUAACUUCACCUCUUUUUCCUUUUAAAGAUCUGGUAACUAGAAAGUCAUAAUACAUAGCUUGGAUGAUACUUUGAUUUGACGGUGCUGCUCAGGAUGACACAAUCAGGGAGGAAUGGGGAGGUCUGGCUUUUUCUCUCUUCAUCUGGAUCAACAGGUGUAGGAUGGCCCUACUCAGGGUUGAGCAAAACACAUCUAGGCCCCUGCUUUUGGGGGCCGCUCCCUCCCUCCCAGUCUGUGCGAGAGAUGAAUGCCAUUCUCCACAUUUGUUGCGUCUGUCUGGCUCUUGCUAAGCU